rnacentral:miRNA from 1 species
GGCGCUUGUUGGAGUACACUU